UUCUUCAUGUUUGUGUGAGGUAGGCCCUGUUCUAUGAUUUUAAAUGACUGCAGUAUUUUGACUGUGCUAAGGUAGCAUAAUAAUUUUUUCUUUAAUUGGGAGGUGGAAUGAAUGGGUUAACGAGACAUUGGCUUUAUUGACUUAAUUUAUAUAAUUUGAUUUUAGAGUUAAAAUUCUCUAAUGGUCUAGAGGGACGACAAGACCCUAAGAAAUUUUAUCACUAGCACUUGAAUUAAGGUGUUUGUGUUUUGGCUGGGGCGGUCUUAUUUGUGGCAGAUAGGUAAAACAACACGGUGUGUGGUUUUGAUGAGCUUGAGUUUAAAACUGAAGUUGUAAUUACUCUAGGGAUAACAGCGUAAUUGUUUUGGAGAGUUCAAAUCGAUGGAAUAGUUUGCGACCUCGAUGUUGAAUUAAGUGGUUUCUUUGAGUAGAAGAAAAGAGGAGCAGGUCUGUUCGACCUUUAAUUUCUU
rnacentral:rRNA from 1 species